rnacentral:ncRNA from 1 species
UGGUCGGGAGACUUUACUUGGGAAGAAAAGUCAAGAAUUGACCGUCACUAUCGUCUCAACUUUACCCGCCGCUGGGUUCCCGACAGCGUGCGUG